GUGGCCCUGAAUCAAGGCUAGCAGUUUGUUGUAGCUACUGGCUUCAAACAGUGGCCCACAGUAAACUCUCCCAAUGGACUGUUGACUUUCCCAUUCAACCUCAUAUGUGAAAAUCAAUUCAUUUGGAAGUAACAAGU